rnacentral:rRNA from 1 species
GACAGAGGAGCCAAGCGUUGUUCGGAUUUACUGGGCGUAAAGGGCGCGUAGGCGGCCACCGCAAGUCGACUGUGAAAUCUCCGGGCUUAACCCGGAAAGGUCAACUGAUACUGCGGGGCUAGAGUGCAGAAGGGGCAACUGGAAUUCUCGGUGUAGCGGUGAAAUGCGUAGAUAUCGAGAGGAACACCUGCGGCGAAGGCGGGUUGCUGGGCUGACACUGACGCUGAACUGCGAAAGCUAGGGGAGCGAACGGG